AAGAUUUACCUAGUUCCAAAAUAGAAUCGGAAACAGAAACCUAGAAAACUAUAUUAAACCUUUUUAUGAAGCUGUCAAACUAAUUUCACGAUAUUAACAACUUCAAUUGACAUUUGUGGUCCGUUAGUAUUUUAUUAGGUGUCUUUGGUUUAUGUAUAAGCUAUUGAAAAAUACCUUUUUUUUGUUUUUGAAAUAAAUAUCUGUUCUGCGUAUUUCAUAAACAAUGGUUAAUUGUUUACGCAUUCACAUACAGUGAAUCGUCUGAGACGGACGUGGUUACAUAUAGAUAGUGUUCGGUAAAACAGUGUGGUAGAAUAAAAUGAAAAUGCCUCUAGUGCAGCAUCAAGCCGAUUUGUCUGGCGUAGACAUAGCAGAAACUACUCAAAACCCGCCGCCAUACAAUAACCAGAUGUAAACAGAUUUAUAUCAUGUCGUUCCCACUGUACCGACUCAACAGUUCAUCACAGUUCAAGCGCCGCAAAUGGGCCCUAAGCCUGCACGCUAUACCUGCCCAAGCUGCAAAGCGUCCAUCACGACCAGAGUAGAAUAUGUAUCGGCGACGAAAA